ncrna:unclassified sequences Mu-gpT-DE RNA
CCUUGACAGUUACAUGGUGUAACUGACAUUUGCCAAGACAAGGAGAUUGAUAUG